GGAAUAUACCUGAAAGGGGGUACAACUCUAGAUUAUGAUACCACAUCGUCCUAUACAUUGACAGUACAAUGCAGUGAUCUGAGAAGAAAUGAUACUGGAGUUUUUACGAUUAACCUCAUACGGAAUACGCCCCCAGUUAUCAACAGUUUACCAACGAACACAAAUAUAUCAGAAGAGGUCAUAACUAAAACAUUUCUUCACUUAUUGAACACAACAGAUGUAAAUGUUAACGACACCAUAACAUGUGUACUUACCGUGCAUAUUGACACAUUUUCACUGGAAAAACUACCUCCAACGUUAGAUUAUUAUGCAGUCUUCCUCAAAGCAGGCAUAAUACUGAACUUUGAUAUUACGUCAAGCUAUGCAUUAAUUAUAGAAUGCGGCGAUCAUCGUAGAAAUGUUACAGAUGUUUUGACAGUUGACAUAAUAAAUCCAAAUAUGGCACCAAGCAUUACUAAUUUACCGAUGAGUUGCGAAAUACCAGAAACCAUCAGCACAGAGUCUUUACUGUAUACCAUAUCUGUUACCGACCCAUCAAACGAUACAGUGACAUGUAAUGACACCUCAUCUUCAGUAAUGUUUUAUCUUCAACCUGGAAUAGAACCAUUUGAGACCAACAUAUACAUUAGACCAAACCAAGCACUUAAUUACGACAUUCAAAGACAAUACAAAUUAGAUAUCUUUUGCGCUGACCAGCGAAGGAACGAUUCUUCGAUUUUCUUUAUCUACCUUAUCCGUAAUAUGCCUCCGUCUCUCACCAAUC